rnacentral:rRNA from 1 species
GAUGAACGCUGGCGGCGCGCCUAACACAUGCAAGUCGAACGGCACCCCUCCUCGGAGGGAAGCGAGUGGCGAACGGCUGAGUAACACGUGGAGAACCUGCCCCCUCCCCCGGGAUAGCCGCCCGAAAGGACGGGUAAUACCGGAUACCCCGGGGUGCCGCAUGGCACCCCGGCUAAAGCCCCGACGGGAGGGGAUGGCUCCGCGGCCCAUCAGGUAGACGGCGGGGUGACGGCCCACCGUGCCGACAACGGGUAGCCGGGUUGAGAGACCGACCGGCCAGAUUGGGACUGAGACACGGCCCAGACUCCUACGGGAGGCAGCAGUGGGGAAUCUUGCGCAAUGGGGGGAACCCUGACGCAGCGACGCCGCGUGCGGGACGGAGGCCUUCGGGUCGUAAACCGCUUUCAGCAGGGAAGAGUCAAGACUGUACCUGCAGAAGAAGCCCCGGCUAACUACGCG